AACGCGUUCUAGUUGGUCAAUGGUUGAUUACGUCAGAUUUCCAAAGAACUUGUGUUAUUUUAAGACGGACGAACGCCGCCGAAUGACGAAAUGAUGAUGAACAACUUCGGCCCGGCGCCAGGCGGCAUAGCAGCAAGCUGUGGCUGAUGCGAAGUGAGCAAUGCAAAUUAAAAGAAGAAAACAAUUCUUAAGAACAGUCAAUUUUUAGCCGACGCAAAACCUUGACGACUGCAAUAAUAAUAUUACUACUAUGUGCAAUGUGCAAAUAUAUAGGUACAUUCAUAUAUGUACAAUGUACAUACCACACACUGGCCUUUCUUUCUGCUCUACUGGGCUACGACGACAACGGCAAAAGUGAUGCUGCGGUGUGCUCCAGUUUUUUUUUUUUUUGUAAACCGGCCAACUAGGUUUGUUAUGAAGUACUAUGUAAAACUCUAAAAUUAUAUUAAAAAUAGGUAAAUAUAGUAUAUUCGUACAUAAAUACAAAUCGUAAAUUAUAAGACUUUAUAGGACUGUAGCCUGUAAUUAAACAUUAUAUUAAUCCAAACUAGAAAAA